UACGUAGGGUGCGAGCGUUAAUCGGAUUUACUGGGCGUAAAGGGCGCGUAGGCGGUCAGCACAAGUCAGUUGUGAAAUCUCCGGGCUUAACUCGGAAAGGUCAACUGAUACUGUGCGACUAGAGUGCGGAAGGGGCAACUGGAAUUCUCGGUGUAGCGGUGAAAUGCGUAGAUAUCGAGAGGAACACCUGCGGCGAAGGCGGGUUGCUGGGCCGACACUGACGCUGAGGCGCGAAAGCCAGGGGAGCGAACGGG
rnacentral:rRNA from 1 species